rnacentral:rRNA from 1 species
ACGCCGGCGGCAGGCCUAACACAUGCAAGUCGAGCGGUAACAGGAAUUAGCUUGCUAAUUUGCUGACGAGCGGCGGACGGGUGAGUAAUGCCUGGGAAUAUGCCUUGAUGUGGGGGAUAACUAUUGGAAACGAUAGCUAAUACCGCAUAAUGCCUACGGACCAAAGAGGGGGAUCUUCGGACCUCUCGCGUCAAGAUUAGCCCAGGUGGGAUUAGCUAGUUGGUGGGGUAAUGGCUCACCAAGGCGACGAUCCCUAGCUGGUUUGAGAGGAUGAUCAGCCACACUGGAACUGAGACACGGUCCAGACUCCUACGGGAGGCAGCAGUGGGGAAUAUUGCACAAUGGGGGAAACCCUGAUGCAGCCAUGCCGCGUGUAUGAAGAAGGCCUUCGGGUUGUAAAGUACUUUCAGUUGUGAGGAAGGCGGUAACGUUAAUAGCGUURCCGUUUGACGUUAGCAACAGAAGAAGCACCGGCUAACUCCGUGCCAGCAGCCGCGGUAAUACGGAGGGUGCGAGCGUUAAUCGGAAUUACUGGGCGUAAAGCGCAUGCAGGCGGUCUGUUAAGCAAGAUGUGAAAGCCCGGGGCUCAACCUCGGAACAGCAUUUUGAACUGGCAGACUAGAGUCUUGUAGAGGGGGGUAGAAUUUCAGGUGUAGCGGUGAAAUGCGUAGAGAUCUGAAGGAAUACCGGUGGCGAAUGCGGCCCCCUCGACA